rnacentral:rRNA from 1 species
CCUACGGGGGGCAGCAGUAGGGAAUCUUCGGCAAUGGGGGGAACCCUGACCGAGCGAUACCGCGUGAUUGAAGAAAUACUUCGGUAUGUAAAAAUCUUUUACAAAGGAUGAAUGACCUUAGGAGGAAAUGCCUAAGGAGUGACAGUACUUUAGGAAUAAGCCCCGGCUAACUAUGUGCCAGCAGCCGCGGUAAUACAUAGGGGGCAAGCGUUAUCCGGAAUUAUUGGGCGUAAAGGGUGCGUAGGCGGCUAGUUAAGUUCAUGGUCUAAAUUUAAGGCUCAACCUUAAAAUGCUUUGAAAACUGGCUAGCUUGAGAGAGGUAGAGGCAAGUGGAAUUCCAUGUGUAGCGGUAAAAUGCGUAAAUAUAUGGAGGAACACCAGUGGCGAAGGCGGCUUGCUGGGCCUUAUCUGACGCUGAUGCACGAAAGCGUGGGGAGCAAACAGGAUUAGAUACCCCAGUAGUC